rnacentral:rRNA from 1 species
UACGGGGGGGGCAAGCGUUGUUCGGAAUUACUGGGCGUAAAGGGCGCGUAGGCGGUUCGCUAAGUUGAAUGUGAAAACUCUGGGCUUAACCCAGAGCCUGCAUUCAAUACUGGCGGGCUAGAGUUCUGGAGGGGAUAGCGGAAUUCCUGGUGUAGCGGUGAAAUGCGUAGAUAUCAGGAAGAACACCCGUGGCUAAGGCGGCUCUCUGGUACGGUACUGACGCUGAGACGCGAAAGCGUGGGGAGCGAACAGG